AUGACUGGACCUAACGAUAUGUAU
rnacentral:siRNA from 1 species